AGAGUUUGAUCCUGGCUCAGAGCGAACGCUGGCGGCAGGCUUAACACAUGCAAGUCGAACGGGCACUUCGGUGUCAGUGGCAGACGGGUGAGUAACACGUGGGAACAUACCUCUUGGUUCGGAACAACACAGGGAAACUUGUGCUAAUACCGGAUAAGCCCUUACGGGGAAAGAUUUAUCGCCGAGAGAUUGGCCCGCGUCUGAUUAGCUAGUUGGUAGGGUAACGGCCUACCAAGGCGACGAUCAGUAGCUGGUCUGAGAGGAUGAUCAGCCACAUUGGGACUGAGACACGGCCCAAACUCCUACGGGAGGCAGCAGUGGGGAAUAUUGGACAAUGGGGGCAACCCUGAUCCAGCCAUGCCGCGUGAGUGAUGAAGGCCCUAGGGUUGUAAAGCUCUUUUGUGCGGGAAGAUAAUGACGGUACCGCAAGAAUAAGCCCCGGCUAACUUCGUGCCAGCCGCCGCGGUAAUAC
rnacentral:rRNA from 1 species